rnacentral:lncRNA from 1 species
CACACAUGUGUGCACACACGCAUGAUUUGGUUCCGGGGAGAGUCCUGUGUGCUUACAUCUCACUCCUAGAAAUGCUGUCUGUUGCUGUAGCAUUGUGGCUUUUCCCUUCUUUUGCUGUAAUUUGAAUCAGUAUCCAUACCUUACAUGAUAAACGCAUUGAAAAGAUUUAGUGCAGAAAGAUAUGAAAAGGAACUCAGGGCAUCUGAGGAGUGAGGACGGGCCCACACACUGCACAGGAAAUAAUUAACCAACACUCUGGCUAACUGGACCACUCUCAGAUGGUAUCAUUCACUGAUAAGGGCCUGAAGUAACUGCAGAGGUGAUGGUGGUAGGUUUGGGGGGUGAGAAAGAGGGGCAAGAUGUAAGACUGAAGAUGAAUUUAAAACUGGGAAGGAGUUUUUGCCAGAAAACAACUUUGCUAAACAGGAUCUGCCAACAAGCCCAAACAGAUCUUUUGAUCCAAUCUAAGUUCAUCAGCUGAAUUUGGGCUCUUAUAAUUAUGCUCCAUCCUGCCACUUGUUGGGACUGCCUCCUGUAUCACCCCUUUGAGAUGCUGAUUUUUCCGUGAAUAUAUUCAUUGAGUCCAAUACAUUCAGUGAGUCCAAACUUUGGAGCUGAUCCUAAAGAAAAUAUCCAACGAAAGGAAGAAGCGAUAGGCAUAAUGAUGUUCAUGGCAUUUUUUGUAUGAUAGUGAUAUAUUAGAAAACUCCCUUCAUGCCGAGAAUGUACAUCCACUUUGUAAAGAGUAUUGACUGUGAUCAUUAUGAAAACUAUGUUGCAACUCGGAAGAAUGGUGGACUAUUCUCUUUAUCAAGCUGCCACCAUCCAAAGCACUGUGCCACAUUUGAACACAAAACUAUGCUAUGAUGUAGAAAAUAAAUCACAGAGAUGCUCAGUGAACCACCUGAACCACCAGCCCUGGAGCUGCCUGCAGGCAAGAACAUUGACGACACUGUCAAGGGCCCCAGAAAGACUUUAAUCUCAGAUUCACCAAACCCAGCUGCCACCUUGGACGGUUUGAAACUAAGAUUACAUCUGUAUUAGCGUCUUUCAAGCUGCUGCUCUAAAUCUAUGAAGAUAAACAUCAGAGAUACGUUUAUGACUCUCCAUUUAUCAGUUAGUCUUUUGAAAUUUCCAAUUUAGGGAUGAAUACACUGGCUUGUGUGCUCCUUUCAAGCCCCACCCUACCCUUCUCUCAGCCCACAGGCUGCAGGGAGAGGAGCUACAUCAAUUUUUCAACAGUUAGGAUGACAGAG